CCUACGGGCGGCAGCAGUGAGGAAUAUUGGUCAAUGGGCGGAAGCCUGAACCAGCCAAGUCGCGUGAGGGAUUAAGGCCCUGCGGGUCGUAAACCUCUUUUGCCGGGGAGCAGUGGUCCGGACGCGUCCGGACCGGGAGAGUACCCGGAGAAAAAGCAUCGGCUAACUCCGUGCCAGCAGCCGCGGUAAUACGGAGGAUGCGAGCGGUAUCCGGAUUUAUUGGGUUUAAAGGGUGCGUAGGCGGGCAUUUAAGCCGGCGGUCAAAUGUCGGGGCUAAACCCCGGCCUGCCGUCGGAACUGGGUGCCUUGAGUACAGUAGAGGUGGGUGGAAUUCGUGGUGUAGCGGUGAAAUGCUUAGAUAUCACGAAGAACUCCGAUUGCGAAGGCAGUUCACUGGACUGCAACUGACACUGAGGCUCGAAAGUGUGGGUAUCAAACAGGAUUAGAUACCCUUGUAGUC
rnacentral:rRNA from 1 species